GUAAGGAAUAUUGGUCAAUGGAGGCAACUCUGAACCAGCCAUGCCGCGUGCAGGAAGACGGCCCUCUGGGUUGUAAACUGCUUUUAUCCGGGAAUAAACCUGCCUUCGUGAAGGUAGCUGAAUGUACCGGAAGAAUAAGGAUCGGCUAACUCCGUGCCAGCAGCCGCGGUAAUACGGAGGAUCCAAGCGUUAUCCGGAUUUAUUGGGUUUAAAGGGUGCGUAGGCGGCCUGUUAAGUCAGGGGUGAAAGACGGUGGCUCAACCAUCGCAGUGCCCUUGAUACUGAUGGGCUUGAAUGGACUAGAGGUAGGCGGAAUGUGACAAGUAGCGGUGAAAUGCAUAGAUAUGUCACAGAACACCGAUUGCGAAGGCAGCUUACUAUGGUCCUAUUGACGCUGAGGCACGAAAGCGUGGGGAUCGAACAGGAUUAGAUACCCGUGUAGUCC
rnacentral:rRNA from 1 species